AUGAAUUGAAUUCUGUCGGGUUGUUGCUGGUCUUUAAAUGGACAUGUGCACGCUUGACUCAAUUUAUAAACCACUUGUGAACCAUUUGUAGACUUGGAUAACCGUCGAGUUCAACUCGGAUAGAAGGAUUGCGCUUAUUAGCUUUCUUUCAAUUUCCAAGUCUAUGUUUCUAUAUACUUGAUUAAUGAAUGUCAGUUGGCCUAUUAUAAUUUAAUA
rnacentral:misc_RNA from 1 species